rnacentral:rRNA from 1 species
GAUGAACGCUGGCGGCGUGCCUAAUACAUGCAAGUCGAGCGAACGGACGAGAAGCUUGCUUCUCUGAUGUUAGCGGCGGACGGGUGAGUAACACGUGGAUAACCUACCUCUAAGACUGGGAUAACUUCGGGAAACCGUAGCUAAUACCGGAUAAUAUUUUGAACCGCUUGGUUCAAAAGUGCAUGACGGUCUUGCUGUCACUUAUAGAUGGAUCCGCGCUGCAUUAGCUAGUUGGUAAGGUAACGGCUUACCAAGGCAACGAUGCAUAGCCGACCUGAGAGGGUGAUCGGCCACACUGGAACUGAGACACGGUCCAGACUCCUACGGGAGGCAGCAGUAGGGAAUCUUCCGCAAUGGGCGAAAGCCUGACGGAGCAACGCCGCGUGAGUGAUGAAGGUCUUCGGAUCGUAAAACUCUGUUAUUAGGGAAGAACAUAUGUGUAAGUAACUGUGCACAUCUUGACGGUACCUAAUCAGAAAGCCACGGCUAACUACGUG